rnacentral:rRNA from 1 species
AUGGAGGCACAAGGAGGGCCGUGUGAGCGAAACACUGUAAAACUUGCCGAACUAGCUGAGCUGCCUGAGCUGGUUGCACUCCGAGUCAAUGGUCACGUAGCACCGUGGAAAGGACCAUGCCUCCUGACUUCAUGGGCCACCAAGCACAACACACCACAGUCAUACGAUGACCGCCUUGCCGCCUUCAGAAGAGGCGAGGUACGAAUGAGCGGGACGAUGGUUCAUUGCACUAGGGUAUUUAAGGAGAACGUAAAUUUGGAUGAGCAAUAUCCAGAGUUGGUUGAACAAGCAAAACUGAUAUUGAAGAAGUGCGGAGGACUUCCCCUUGCACUAGUCACCAUAGGUGGCUUCUUGGCAAGCCAACCAAAAGCUGCUUUUGAAUGGAGAAAAUUGAAUGAGCAUAUUAGUGCUGAGUUGGAGAUGAAUCCAGAACUUGAGAUCAUAAAAGCAGUCCUGAUGAAAAGCUAUGCUGGUUUACCCUAUUACCUCAAGGCUUGUUUCUUGUAUCUUGCCAUCUUUCCUGAAGACUACAUGAUUCUGCAGAGACGCUUAGUGCGCCGGUGGAUUGCAGAGGGUUACUCAAGUGAGGUGCAUGGCAAGUCUAUGGAGGAAGUAUUGGAUGGUUACUUCAUGGAACUCAUAGGCAGGUGCAUGAUCCUGCCAUCUCAACAGUCAAUUCAUAGUAGAAAAGGAAUUGACUCAUGUCAUGUCCAUGAUCUCAUUCGUGAAAUUGCCAUCUCAAAGUCUAUGGAGGAAAAUCUUGUAUUCACAUUGGAGGAAGGGUGCAGCUUAAACAACCAUGGCAUAGUGCGUCAUCUUGCUAUAAGCAGCAAUUGGGAGGGAGAUCAGUGUGAGUUUGAGAAUAUAGUAGACUUGUCCCGUGUACGAUCGUUGACAGUGUUUGGAAACUGGAGGCCGUUUUACAUUUCUGAUAAGAUGAGUUUCCUACGAGUGCUGGACUUGGAAGGCCAGUGGGAUCUGCUUGAUCAUCAUCUUGAGCAUAUUGGGAAGCUUGUACACCUUAGAUACCUUUCUAUAAGGGGACAUAAUGAUAUAUUUCACCUGCCAAAUUCAUUGGGGAACCUGAGACAACUCCUGACACUAGAUAUUUCAGUGUACUGUUGUGUGGCAUGUUGUGCACCUAAUGUUCUGGCACAUACUCUUGUACUUGAGGAUGAAGCACAACUUAGCAGGCGUGAUGUAUGCACUGCGUUCUGUUGCAGCAUAUUACCUUAUUAUGCGGCAGGAGGACGAAAUCCAGGUGGUGUUGAAGUGCCUAGAGGGAUUUGGAAGCUGAAGGCCCUGCACACACUGCGUACCGUGGAUGUCUCAGUGGGGAAGGCUGUUCUACAAGAUAUAAAAAAGCUCACCCGGUUGCACAAGUUAGGAUUGACAGGCAUCAACAAGAGAAACAGUCAAGAGUUGUGUCCAGCAAUUGCAUGUCUCAGCAGCCUGGAGUCCUUGUCACUGCGGUCACACGAAGCAACAGGUUUAUCAGGCUGCUUUGAUGGGAUGUCCUCACCUCCAGAAAACCUGCAGAGCCUCAAGUUGAGAGACAACCUGAUUGAGCUGCCGGGGUGGAUCCAGGGCCUCAAAAAUCUCGUGAAGCUGAAGCUAGAGGGGUCGAGUAUAUGGGAGCAUAAUGCGGCCAUACAAGUCCUUGGGAAUCUACCAAACCUGGCCACCCUACGACUAUUGCAUGGCUCGUUCUUUUGUGAAGAGGUCUGUUUAAGUUUCGGUCAGGAGGUAUUCCUGAGCUUGAAGGUGCUGCAGCUGGAUUACAUAAGAAACCUCAAGUUGGUGGUAUUUGAAGGAGGAGCCGCUCCUAAGCUUGAAUUGCUGCUGUGUUUGCGUGGGUGGGGCAAUGCUAGUGUUGGCUUGUUCUCUGGGUUAGCAUAUCUCCCAAGCCUCAAGGAAUUUAUGCUGCAUAAAAAGGACUGGAGGAAUACCGAGUUGGUGGAGGACCUGCAAGGCCAGCUGGCAGAGAAUCAAAACGGGCCCGUUCUGAAGAGCUGGUACCUAGCUAGCCUUGCAACUGCUUCAUGA